rnacentral:rRNA from 1 species
UAGAGAGAGACAUGCGCGCAUAUCAAUAAGCGGAGGAAAAGAAACUAACUAAGGAUUCCCCUCAGUAACGGCGAGUGAAGCGGGAAGAGCUCAAAUUUGAAAUCUUCAAGGUUCUACCUUGACGAAUUGUAGUUUAAAGAAGUGUUUUCUGCUGGAGUUUUGGUAAAAGUUCUUUGGAAUAGGACAUCAUAGAGGGUGAGAAUCCCGUAUUUGACCAUUAUUUCCAGCUUUGUGAUACACUUUCAAAGGAGUCGGAUUGUUUGGGAAUGCAGUCCAAAAUGGGUGGUAAAUUUCAUCUAAAGCUAAAUAUUGGCGAGAGACCGAUAGCGAACAAGUACCGUGAGGGAAAGAUGAAAAGAACUUUGAAAAGAGAGUUAAACAGUACGUGAAAUUGUCAAAAGGGAAGCGUUUGACACCAGUGUUGUUUUCUCGAAAAUCAAUUAAAAAAGGCAGGAUUUUGUGUUGUAUUGACUUUAUCAGCUUUCUGCACUCUUUUCUUGUCUUUUUUAAUGCACUUUUCGUUUAACAAGUCAACAUCAAUUUCUUUUGUUGUAAAAGGGUCAUUGGAAGGUGGCCUUUCUUUUCGGAGAAAGUGUUUAUAGCCUUUGGCCUCUGCAAUCGGAGAGAUUGAGGUCUGCAGCGUAGAUCCUUCGGGGUUAGAUACAUUUGUGCUAAGUUAUAGCCUUUCAUAGACAACUUGUUGACUAUGAUCAGUCAUGUAGCUUACUCGCUUAUGCUAUUUUACCUACGCUUAGGAUGUUGAUGUGAUACUGCGAGCA